UACCACUAUUUCUGCAGGCUUGGGUAUUACUUUUCUCCUUUUCAAACGUUAUGAAAUUCUAACUAUGUUCACCUCUAUAAAUAGAUCACUAUUGGGCUAUUAUCAGAGCUCAUAGCUUUUCCUAGCCAAACUUUUGCAUUUCAUUCUCCAGUGGUGGCUUUGGAAUGCCCCUACACUUGAACUAACCAAAGUAGUUGGUCAGUUGUAGAAAACUACAUAUUUUGAGAAUUCUUUGUACGGAUUGUUUUUGUGAUGGUAGUACUCAAAAAGACCUUAAAAUGGAGCUAAAUUUAUUAGAUUUCCUGAUCUGUUGGAUACUGCCUUCUGAAUUUCUCAUUGGUUUGCUUGUGUUGACUUCCUAUGUUGGCAAACUAGGACAGCUACCUAUGGUAGGGGUCUGGAUUCAAACUUAUUGUAAUUGAUAACCAUAAAUUAUUAUAUUUUUUUUUUCAACUGAAAUGAAAGGAUCAGGCUUGCAUGCUAUUUGGCUAGUAGUUGAGUGGUCGAGAACUUUUCUUUCCCUUUAUAGGUCUGAUAUGUCUUUUAGGGUAUAAAUUUUUGGUGCUUUUGGUGGACAGGGAUGGCAGUGGGGAGAGAUUUG
rnacentral:misc_RNA from 1 species